rnacentral:rRNA from 1 species
AUACGGGGGGAGCAAGCGUUGUCCGGAAUUACUGGGCGUAAAGGGCGUGUAGGCGGCCUGAUAAGUCAGAUGUGAAAGCCUUCCGCUUAACGGAAGAACUGCAUUUGAAACUGUCGGGCUUGAGUGCGAGAGAGGGUAGUGGAAUUCCCAGUGUAGCGGUGAAAUGCGUAGAUAUUGGGAAGAACACCAGUAGCGAAGGCGGCUACCUGGCUCGUAACUGACGCUAAGGCGCGAAAGCGUGGGGAGCAAACAGGAUUAGAAACCCCAGUAGUCC